AAGAAAGGAUCCCGCAGAUGGAGCUUGGACGCAUAUGUCGAUGUGGAGCUGAAUUGCCGAGUUCGAAAGGCAGCGAGUGCCCGAACAUUGUUUGUCUGUUGACAUGGAGACACUGCUUUGGGCAUCCACCAAAGGGCUGGGUUUCUGACCGCAUACCUCAUUCUGAAAUGACGCCAUCACUGUAGGUGUGCUAAAUAUAUCCCUUAGAUGCAAAACCCUGGAUAGCGAAACCGAAUUUGAUUAUUUCUACCCGUCCAACGUGUGCAAAAUUAGGAAAUGGGAACCUUAUUUAAAGGAC
rnacentral:sRNA from 1 species